CUGCUUCCCACCCCCACCCUCUCUGCACACCAUCCUUUAGUCCUCCACCCCUUGGCUGGGCUUAUGAAACCAAGGGAGACUCAGCCUCUAUUUGUUCUUCUUGGAAAUUCACCGAGUAGGUCCUCUGUAAUCCUCAGCUGAAUCGAUGCCUGCCUGCAAAGGACAAAUAAACAGGUGGACAGGGGAAAUUUAAUAAAUCCUCAAGCUGUGAAGACUUUGGAGGCCCAACAGAGGCGCAUCAUGGCUGGAGACUCGCAGGACGGAGUCCCUGACCCAGGCUCUCAGGGACUGGUGGCCCAUGUACGCCCCUCCCUAGAGAGGGACAGGACCUUGACUGUGACCAAAGAGACUCCGGCCGGGAACGUGUCCUGGAGAGGCCCCAGGGUGAGGCUCGGGCUGCUAGAUGAACUGGAGCACCCGGCACUACAGUGAUGUGGGGGAUUUGAUCUCAGAUUCUCAAGCUUUAUCAACUGAGCUGUCUUCCCAGCCAUGGGACUAAGAAGCAGUGGGCCAGAAGUGUAUACGUUUUAAUUCUGAUCUGCCACAUUGUUCUCCAAAAUGGUUUGUGCCG